rnacentral:rRNA from 1 species
GACGAACGCUGGCGGCGUGCUUAACACAUGCCAGUCGAACGGAAAGGCCCUGCUUUUGUGGGGUGCUCGAGUGGCGAACGGGUGAGUAACACGUGAGUAACCUGCCCUUGACUUUGGGAUAACUUCAGGAAACUGGGGCUAAUACCGGAUAGGAGCUCCUGCUGCAUGGUGGGGGUUGGAAAGUUUCGGCGGUUGGGGAUGGACUCGCGGCUUAUCAGCUUGUUGGUGGGGGAGUGGCUUACCAAGGCUUUGACGGGUAGCCGGCCUGAGAGGGUGACCGGCCACAUUGGGACUGAGAUACGGCCCAGACUCCUACGGGAGGCAGCAGUGGGGAAUAUUGCACAAUGGGCGGAAGCCUGAUGCAGCAACGCCGCGGGCGGGAUGACGGCCUUCGGGUUGUAAACCGCUUUCGCCUGUGACGAAGCGUGAGUGACGGUAAUGGGUAAAGAAGCACCGGCUAACUACGUG